rnacentral:rRNA from 1 species
GGGCGCAGCUGAUCCAGCCAUGCCGCGUGAGUGAAGAAGGCCUUCGGGUUGUAAAGCUCUUUCGGCCGGGAAGAAAUCGCACAGGCUAAUACUCUGUGUGGAUGACGGUACCGGCAUAAGAAGCACCGGCUAACUACGUGCCAGCAGCCGCGGUAAUACGUAGGGUGCGAGCGUUAAUCGGAAUUACUGGGCGUAAAGCGUGCGCAGGCGGUUAGGUAAGUUUGAUGUGAAAUCCCCGGGCUCAACCUGGGAACUGCAUUGAAGACUGCCUAACUAGAGUACGGCAGAGGGGGGUGGAAUUCCACGUGUAGCAGUGAAAUGCGUAGAGCUGUGGAGGAACACCGAUGGCGAAGGCAGCCCCCUGGGCCGAUACUGACGCUCAUGCACGAAAGCGUGGGGAGCAAACAGGAUUAGAUACCCUGGUAGUCCACGCCCUAAACGAUGUCAACUAGUUGCUGGUAGGGUUAAACCUAUUAGUAACGUAGCUAACGCGUGAAGUUGACCGCCUGGGGAGUACGGUCGCAAGAUUAAAACUCAAAGGAAUUGACGGGGACCCGCACAAGCGGUGGAUGAUGCGGAUUAAUUCGAUGCAACGCGAAAAAACUUUACCUACCCUUGACAUG